rnacentral:lncRNA from 1 species
CUUUUCCUCGGGCGUUCCUUCAUGAUGCUCAUGUGAGCCAUGAUUCUCCUCAUCUCCAGUUUUCUCAGAUGCAUGGCUAGAGCUCUUCUCAGUUACAUGGCUAGAGCUAUUCUUCUCAGAUACAUGGCUAGAGCUAUUCUUCUCAGAUACAUGGCUAGAGCUAUUCUUCUCAGAUACAUGGCCAGAGCUAUUCUUCUCAGAUACAUGGCCAGAGCUAUUCUUCUCAGAUACAUGGCUAGAGCUAUUCUUCUCAGAUGCAUGGCUAGAGCUAUUCUUCUCAGAAUUAGACCCCUUCCAAGCUUGUUUGUUGUGUACAUACUUCCCCUAAAGCAUAAAAACACUAUC